rnacentral:tRNA from 4 species
UAGAUUGAAGCCAGUUGAUUAGGGUAUUUAGCUGUUAACUAAAAUUUCGUGGGAUAUAAGCCCACCAGUCUAG